rnacentral:rRNA from 1 species
CCUACGGGCGGCAUCAGUAGGGAAUCUUCCACAAUGGGCGAAAGCCUGAUGGAGCAACGCCGCGUGGGUGAAGAUGUUCUUCGGAUCGUAAAACCCUGUUGUCAGAGAAGAAAGUGCGUGAGAGUAACUGUUCACGUUUCGACGGUAUCUAACCAGAAAGCCACGGCUAACUACGUGCCAGCAGACGCGGUAAUUCGUAGGGGGCAAGCGUAAUCCGGAUGUAUUGGGCGUAAAGGGAACGCAGGCGGUCUUUUAAGUCGGCUGUGAAAGCCUUCGGCUUAAGCGAGGUAGUGCAGUGGAAACUGGGGGACUGGAGUGCAGAAGAGGAGAGUGGAACU